CCUACGGGCGGCAGCAGUGAGGAAUAUUGGUCAAUGGUCGGGAGACUGAACCAGCCAAGCCGCGUGAGGGAGGAAGGUCCAGAGUAUCGUAAACCUCUUUUGUCAGGGAACAAAGGCGGGGACGUGUCCCCGGAUGCGUGUACCUGAAGAAAAAGCAUCGACUAACUCCUUGCCAGCGGCCGCGGUAAUACGGAGGAUGCGAGGUUUAACCGGAUUUAUGGGGUUUAAAGGGUGCGCAGGCGGUCUGUUAAGUCAGGGGUCAAAGCCCGGGGCUCAACCCCGGCCCGCCGUUGAAACUGGCAGUCUCGAGUUGGAGAGAAGUAUGCGGAAUGCGGGGUGUAGCGGUGAAAUGCAUAGAUAUCGCGCAGAACUCCGAUUGCGAAGGCAGCAUGCCGGCUCCACACUGACGCUGAGGCACGAAAGCGUGGGUAUCGAACAGGAUUAGAUACCCUGGAGUC
rnacentral:rRNA from 1 species